rnacentral:rRNA from 1 species
AUUGAACGCUGGCGGCAGGCCUAACACAUGCAAGUCGAGCGGAUGAAGGGAGCUUGCUCCUGGAUUCAGCGGCGGACGGGUGAGUAAUGCCUAGGAAUCUGCCUGGUAGUGGGGGAUAACGUCCGGAAACGGGCGCUAAUACCGCAUACGUCCUGAGGGAGAAAGUGGGGGAUCUUCGGACCUCACGCUAUCAGAUGAGCCUAGGUCGGAUUAGCUAGUUGGUGGGGUAAAGGCCUACCAAGGCGACGAUCCGUAACUGGUCUGAGAGGAUGAUCAGUCACACUGGAACUGAGACACGGUCCAGACUCCUACGGGAGGCAGCGGUGGGGAAUAUUGGACAAUGGGCGAAAGCCUGAUCCAGCCAUGCCGCGUGUGUGAAGAAGGUCUUCGGAUUGUAAAGCACUUUAAGUUGGGAGGAAGGACAGUAAGUUAAUACCUUGCUGUUUUGACGUUACCAACAGAAUAAGCACCGGCUAACUUCGUG